UGUCUCCUAAUCUGCAGUUCCAAGUAAGUGCUUUAUCUUCACCUCCAAGAAAUAAUGUCAAUUAUGGAUUUUGAGUUGCUAUUCCAAGAAAUUGCAAAUGGAUUUGCAGUCGUGAAGAAACAGGGAAAGUAGAGCACUAUAGAACUCUAAAAGACCCGAGAUAGAGAAGACGAGGAAACUAUUGGAACAAAACGUAAAAUGAAACAUCCUUUCAAGAGAACAGAAUUAUAUUUGCGAGUGGAAGAGAGAUGAUUUCUGAUGCUGGAGUAGAAGUGGAGGUGGAUAUUUAUAAGCAGAGAGUUGUCAGAUCUCAACUGUAGCUCAUUUUCAUAUUCCCACUAUAUCCCAAAUCCUAUGAUCUCUGUAUUAUCACACAAAAGAAAUCAAGGAGAUUUUGGGCACAGAGGAUCUCCCGAAGGAAGAGUGUGGCAUAAUGUUGGGGAUGAGGGGCUCACCUUGUCCAAUGGUGGAACAGGGCUUCUGCUUUUGUUCGUUCCGGCAAUUGAAGUUCAAAAGCUAGUUUUUGGGCAUUUAUUAGGUCCAGCUGUGCUUGAUUUCAUCAACCUCUGACUUUGGAUUCUGUAGCUUUAAUUAGCUUGAUUCAGUUGAGCUUACUUUAGCUGAACUUGGUCUCUAUAGGAUUGUGCUAGCUUGAUUCGGUUGAGCUUACUUUAGCUGAACUUGGUCUCUAUAGGAUGAUGCUACCUAGGUACAAAUUUUGCUUUCUUUAAUGCAUGAAGCUACUGUCAGCUUAGUUUAGCUCAGCUUGGAAUCCUAUCAAAAUGCUACUUUUGCUUCUUCUAGAGCAUCAAACUACUGUAAGCUUUGUUUAGCUCAACUUAGUUUCCAUAUGAUCGUAAUGAAGAAGCUAUCUACUAUAAGCUUAGUUUUUUUCAUCUUAGAUUUUAUAGGAUCAUAUGUGAUGUUCCCUCUAGUGGAGGAGGGUCCAUAUGUGAAUUUCCUGAAUUUAUACCUUCACAUGACUUGAUUGCCCUAAGGAUAAUGCAGUCAUAAUUACUAAUUCAGUUUGACAUCUGUAUUUAAAAGGAAUCUAAAUCAAAUGGUAAGAAAAUUUCCCCUCAAAAAAAAAAAAACAAACUUCAAGAAUUUUGUGAAUAAAACAUGUUGGUCGAACUUCUCCUCUUUGUUUGAAUCAUCGAAACCCAAACCAUGCAACAUAAGCUCACAGAGCUUCUUACAUUAAUAAAGAGUUGCAUAUGUGGUUAUUUCUGCACCUAAUCCAGUUAUCAUAUUGCCCAGCUUUCCAAAAACACAAAACAAACCAAGCCAAUAGUACUGCCCAAAAGAUUUUUCCUCCCUUAUCUCUCAAAAGAUGUUUUCUCUCUUUUCUCCCAUCUCAAUCAGGAUGAAUUAAAAUUCAUAGAAAGUUAGAAAAAGGUACUUCUUUUAGAAUUGGCUGGUUAAACCAUUCAAGCUGAUAAUAGUUGAUGCAACUCGAUAAUUGUGAGAACAAUUUUAUUUUUAUAAAUUACAUUUUGAUAAAAAGGCAAGUUGUAUUUUAAUAAGUCUUAUCUUUUAGGUGUUGUGGUCUAUUAUAACCUUGGUGUAGUGGGAAUCACACACAUAAGCCACAUAUCCGGCUAGACCACAUCACCCAGUAAGAUUUCUAUAUUGAUUCAGUUAACUUAAAUAAUGUGCUCUAUUUCCUUUGCAUAUCUGGCUCAAUAUUCUCUGACUGAACAUGAUUUAAUGUUGGAAUUCUCAUAAUCUCCAAUCGAUUAGUUAAGGAAUACUAGCUUUCUUCAAAGAAUCCAACACCAGUUGGAUCGGUACAUAUCGAUCAAUUUUAUUAUGACCAAGAACCAAUAUAGACAAUAUACGCUAGUAUCGAUCGGUAUCUGAUUUUCUUAUUAUCUUUUGGUGAUACAUAACAAUACAGAUCAGUAUAUUGUCAGAUAUACCCAUACCGUAGGAGUUUAACCUGUUGCUAAGACUGAUAUCAAGCAGGAUUUAAAUCUUUUCUUUCUACCUAUUGAAAGUAUACAUGACCUUAUCAUAUUGGAUGUGGUGUUGCCUCUACUAAGUUUACCAUCUGUUACAGUAUGAGAAAAAAACUUAUACUGAGCUUAAAAGUAAAUGUUAACCUUUGAGAAAAAGGUUGAAUCAUCGAUUUGUUUGAAUGAAUCUCACCUUCCCCUGUUUGAGUGGAUGAAGUUAGGGAUUCACCUCCGAAUGGAAUGAAUGAUUCAAGUUGCUUUCCUCCUUUCAACUGUGGGUGAGAAUUAUUUUCGUUUCUCAUGUCGAAAUAUUUUGGAUGGAAAAAAAAAUUCAUGAUUUGAUACUACAAGACUCAACCACCUGUUGUUCAUUGGUUUAGUGGUCCAUGGAUGUACUUGUAAACAUGUGGUCCAACCGUUUAUCACCUCAUAAUUAGUGGGUGAUUGAGAUGUGAGGAUUACAUGAAUAAGCUGUUACCGUAAAUCUCUGUGCAAGGAUAUUAAUUCUCCUAAUUGGAGACAAUCUGAACUCGGAACCAAUUUGAAAAAAAAAAUAAUAUGAGGUUGCAUGUCCUUGUCAGAGUGUUGUUUGUCUCUUUUUUAGGGAAAACAAAGGAAAGGCAUAGUCUCCUUUAUGCAAGCCAAGAUUGAGCUUCCAAGUAGUUGUCUAUGUGAAGGAACCUUUUCUGGGCUGUGGCUUGUCACUUCAGUACACUUAUCUUUAGACCCUUCAACUCUCACCAUUCAUCAGAAGCAAUUACUACUUUGUAUUUGGGGUCUGAGAUGAUGCAGUUAAUCACCAAGUAGAUUAAGUGGUUUUAUCUUUUCUUAAACAAAGCAUUAAAGUUUAAGUAUCUUUUCUUAUGUUGGUACAGUUUCACAGCUGCAUCUGAAAUGUCCGUCUACCAUCGCCUCUUAUCAUGAUCAGUGGUCCAUCAUCAUCUCAUGUCAGUCCCAUAUGACACCUCUUACAUCUCCACAUGUGAGGUUCAUAUGAGUGGAGAAUUGCGACCACAGAUGAGGUUGAUGUAAUGGUUGAUAUCGAGAAGUUGGAGGGACAGUUGGAUCUGCAGAAAUUGUGAAGGACUUUAAAUUGCACGAAGUCAUUAGGUCAAGGCAUGAGGGAUGCAUGAAACCGCAAAAGCAGCUUUAUAUAGGUGACAAAUGGUGGCAACAGUAUGUAGAUGAUGGAGACAAUAACUAUUGAUUCUAGUUCAUGAACAUAAAUUUAACGGAAGCACAAAUUCAUGCAUACACACGACAAAAAAUUCAGUUUGUAAGUACUGGACCUUCAGGUUUGGUUUGGAUUAUGCUUUAUGCUGUGAAUAUUAUCUCUUCUGUCAUAUUUAUUCUAUGACUAGUUUCUAUUUUGCUAUUUCAUUUCACUUCUUACGAAAUGACAAUAUUAUUUUUUUCAUUUUUCUCAAGAAAAUGGAUCGGUCAUGGUUACCAGGAGAAAAAUGCAGAUUCCCAUAGCAGACUUGACUGAAUUCUUCAUGCUGCUACUGCCUUUUGAUCACUGUUUAGAGGUCCGUCCUUUGGUAGGAUUACUGAGCAAAAUAUCACUCUCUCUCUCUCUCUCUCUCUCAAAAUUUUUCCUGUUAUGCAUGAAGUAACAUGCCUAGAACAUCAGGACCAAUUUUUUACCUUCUCAUCUUAGGAUAGCGUAUGACUUGUACGAUCAAACUACCAAGUCUAGAAUCAACAAACCACAAGUCUAGGUAGUUUAAAUCAUGUCAAGUUAGUUCAUUUGAAGGAAUUUAAUGAGAUGGGAAUGAAUUUUUGUUGUGGGAACAUGAUUGGUUCAUGAACUUCCCAUAUGUAACAGUGUCAAAUCGCUCAUUUAGUGUUCCAUGCACAAGCCAUUGCACUUUGGCCUAUAAAUUUCACUGUGAAAACAGGCAUGUAAAAGGCCAAACAACUGAAACCUAAAAAGUAAGGAGUUCGAAAAAAUUGAAAGAUGAGAAGCUAAUUGGCAUCUUUGUUGACACGAGGAAUCAAUUCUUGUGAUGUGCUUUCUUAUGAUGAAACAGGCAAAGUGCUAUGGACGCAGAGGAUCAUAACAUGGCAUGGAUCCAUCAUGCACGCUGCUUUCAUCAUGUUGAGCUUCAGCAAUUAAGAUGAGAAUGGGCAACAUAGAGCACAUCCACUUGCGUGAUGAUUGUGCUCUUGAUGCAACUAGAUUGAGGAUGAUGCUACAAAGAUGCGCUGGUGCACCUAUAUGAUGUUAAUAUAACACUGCACCAAUAUGAUCAUGGAUGAGCAUCCACCACGUUGAUACAUCAGCACCAAAAGACCAGUAAUGCAAUUUCGACAUCUUAUGAUUUGUAUGCACGACAAGCACUUUUCGAUAUAAAGACAUACUUGAUUUUUUUGCAGAAUUCAUCUCGCUGAUCUUGAUGUGAUUUUGGUAGUAGUCUUGCAGAACAUCCUCUUCUUUCUUAAUAGACCUCUAGAUCAACGGUCAAGGACAUUGUUUCAACAUAUGACCAAAACAGGUUUUACGUUGAUCCCUCCUUCCAUCCUCCUCCCUCAUUUGUUUUGUAAGCCUAAUCUAGUUUGAACCUUGAUGGCCAUGGUUGUCUUGGUGACAUUGAUGGGCAGCUCAUCUUGAAAAGAUUCUAGGUAUGAAUCCUUGUGCAAGUGGUGUUGGAGUACUCUAGUUGAAUAAUUAUUCAGGUAAAAGAUCAUCCACUAGAUCUGUCUUUUAUUUCUUUAAGGUAUCUUUCUUUGUCUUCCUGCUUUUUGACUGAGUUUUUAUGUGAUUGAUGACUAUUCCUCACCUAUAUUGAGCUUUCCAGGUUGACUGCAAGGUCCUGUAGAAAAAGAAAGGAUUCUUUUUUUCUUUCAUUAUGACAUAUGUCAAAAUAAUUGGAUGGGAGAUGACAAAAAGGUAUUUGUUCAUUGUGAUUGAACUUGUAGGUGGAUUGUCCUUUCAGAACCUUUCAGUCUUACAUUCUCCUACCCUCCAAGCUGUACAGCUAGUUGAAUGAAAGAUUGAUACUGAAAGAUUGAUUUGGCCUAAUUGAAUUCAGUAAGUUGGAGGAGCAGGAUUAAGGUGGUUUGUCAAGCAAGGAUGCAGGCUCAUCGCGUAUGGUAGGUUCGGGGUCAAUGCAUGCUCGUUUGCCAUUAUAUUUUUUGACCAAUUUAGAGCUACUCAAUCUGUGCAUUUCUGUUUGUCUUGUAAUGAAACAGGCGGAGUGACAUGAAUACAGAGACUCAUGACAUGGCAUCGGAUCCACCAUCAACUCUGUUUUCAUAGUCUUGUGUCCUUGCUGAAUCUAUAUCAAGAAUGCUGCUACAAUUUUGUCCUGGUGCACGUAUUUGAUCAUAAUGUAGCACUGCACCAAUCUGAUUAUGGACGAGCACCGACACUAUCCAUCAGCACCGAUGGACCG
rnacentral:lncRNA from 1 species